rnacentral:piRNA from 1 species
UACAAAAGGUCCUCAUUUGCCCUGAAC